rnacentral:rRNA from 1 species
AUUGAACGCUGGCGGCAGGCCUAACACAUGCAAGUCGAGCGGAUGAGUGGAGCUUGCUCCAUGAUUCAGCGGCGGACGGGUGAGUAAUGCCUAGGAAUCUGCCUGGUAGUGGGGGACAACGUUUCGAAAGGAACGCUAAUACCGCAUACGUCCUACGGGAGAAAGCAGGGGACCUUCGGGCCUUGCGCUAUCAGAUGAGCCUAGGUCGGAUUAGCUAGUAGGUGAGGUAAUGGCUCACCUAGGCGACGAUCCGUAACUGGUCUGAGAGGAUGAUCAGUCACACUGGAACGGGGACACGGUCCAGGCUCCUACGGGAGGCAGCAGUGGGGAAUAUUGGACAAUGGGCGAAAGCCUGAUUCAGCCAUGCCGCGUGUGUGAAGAAGGUCUUCGGAUUGUAAAGCACUUUAAGUUGGGAGGAAGGGCAGUAAGUUAAUACCUUGCUGUUUUGACGUUACCAACAGAAUAAGCACCGGCUAACUUCGUGCCAGCCGCCGCGGUAAAAC